rnacentral:rRNA from 1 species
AACGAACGCUGGCGGCAGGCUUAACACAUGCAAGUCGAGCGAGACCUUCGGGUCUAGCGGCGGACGGGUGAGUAACGCGUGGGAACGUGCCCUUCUCUACGGAAUAGCCCCGGGAAACUGGGAGUAAUACCGUAUACGCCCUUUGGGGGAAAGAUUUAUCGGAGAAGGAUCGGCCCGCGUUGGAUUAGGUAGUUGGUGGGGUAAUGGCCCACCAAGCCGACGAUCCAUAGCUGGUUUGAGAGGAUGAUCAGCCACACUGGGACUGAGACACGGCCCAGACUCCUACGGGAGGCAGCAGUGGGGAAUCUUAGACAAUGGGGGCAACCCUGAUCUAGCCAUGCCGCGUGAGUGAUGAAGGCCUUAGGGUUGUAAAGCUCUUUCAGCUGGGAAGAUAAUGACGUACCAGCAGAGAGCC